rnacentral:rRNA from 1 species
AUACGGAGGGUCCGAGCGUUAUCCGGAAUCAUUGGGUUUCAAGGGUCCGUAGGCGGGAAUCUAAGUCAGUGGUAAAAUCUUGCAGCUCAACUGUAAAAUUGCCAUUGAUACUGGAUUUCUUGAAUUAGUGUGAAGUGGUUAGAAUGUGUAGUGUAGCGGUGAAAUGCAUAGAUAUUACACAGAAUACCAAUUGCGAAGGCAGAUCACUAACACUAUAUUGACGCUAAGGGACGAAAGCGUGGGGAACGAACAGGAUUAGAUACCCCAGUAGUCC